rnacentral:rRNA from 1 species
GUGCCAGCAGCCGCGGUAAUACGUAGGGGGCUAGCGUUGUCCGGAUUUAUUGGGCGUAAAGAGCGUGUAGGCGGCCAGGUAGGUCCGUUGUGAAAACUCGAGGCUCAACCUCGAGACGUCGGCGGAAACCCUCUGGCUAGAGUCCGGAAGAGGAGAGUGGAAUUCCUGGUGUAGCGGUGAAAUGCGCAGAUAUCAGGAAGAACACCCGUGGCGAAGGCGGCUCUCUGGGACGGUACUGACGCUGAGACGCGAAAGCGUGGGGAGCAAACAGGAUUAGAUACCCUGGUAGUCCACGCCGUAAACGAUGGGUGCUAGGUGUGGGGAGUGUCGACUCUCUCUGUGCCGAAGCUAACGCAUUAAGCACCCCGCCUGGGGAGUACGGCCGCAAGGCUAAA